AGCCGUGGUCCCGCAAGUGGAAGUAAACCGCUCUGCAGGGUGAACACGCACCCAGUGCCGCCCAGGAAGCUGCCAGUCAGGAUUGGGCGCAAUCUCUGGAAGGAACUCCAGGAGACAGUGUGGCCUCCACAGCAUUAGGCAGCCAAGGAGAUGCAAACACGUCUGCUGUAGAUGCUGGUGAUGAGACCCCCUCUUCCCAGCCAGGGCCUGCUGGGUAAGAGUGGCAUUUCCGUGGAUGACUUUAUCCCUCAGGAUCGGGGCGUGUAGAUUUAAUGGCUGGCUUCCUUCUUACAGUUUCUUCUCAGAGCACACUCAAGAGAGGCCAUCUGUCCCUUGAGAGGCUGUUGACCAAAAGAGGCUGAAGAAGGAUGUGGAGCCCAGCUGCAGCGGGACCAGCCUGGGGCCUGAUGAGAGCUUGGCCCAGAACCCCCAAGUUCAUCAUUCACAAUGAUGCCUCAGAAACCCUCCCAGAGCCCCUCCACCCUCCGACGGAUGUCACCCUGAAGCCAGCCGCAGAAGCUGUGCGGGGCGAGCACAGCAACACCGGCCCCACGUCCCUCAGCUGAGUCAUCCUGUCAGCACUGGGGGCCCAAGAUCUCCUCGACUGCUGCACUCCUACUGCUUCUGCUCCAGGGGGAACAGGAGCACGGGUGCCGCCUGCGGGAGCAGGUGGAGAAGAACGGUGAGCUGAAGAGGGGCAGCCGCCGACAACCAGGUGCACAAGCUGCAGGAGGAGCUGGACGAGCUGAAGGGAGGGGCUCCCUGCCUUAGCAGCCUGCUGCCCCCCGCCGAGGUCAAACACCAAGGGUAGAGGUAGUCAAGAGAUCAAGUCUAAUCUACCUACGGGUGUGGCAGGCUUACCUAUGGAUGUUCAAGCCAGACAUUGCCAGAAGAACUACAUCUCUUCACCCAUAGAAAAAUGAAUGAUGUGACCAUUUGGUGCAGGACAACAGCAUUAUGUUCACCAGUCUCUGUACUGUAUGUUACUGCACAGCAUGGACUGUAGGAAAAAGCCCAGAGGAGCAAUGAAGACAAAGAAGACACGACACCUGCAAAAAGUCAGUGGAGUAUUUCUACACAACAAACCUUCCAGGUGAGUGACGGUCAGUAUCUUCCACUGCUCCAGCUCUCGCAAGAAACCUAGUACCUUCCCAGGGUAAGCUGGAGGACCACGGCCCACUAGUCCACUCCCCGCCCAGGGCCUGUUUGUGCAGGGUGACUGCCAUCAAGCAGACAAUGGACUCAGGAUGGGGCCUGUGUCUUUGGGGAGGCUGGUAGAGAGGCACAAAGUCGAACACCAGCUAAGGGCACACACCUGAGAGGUGGAGUUCCAGGUGGAGACUCAAAAUGUACCAAGACACUGCAUGAAGGAAGCUACUCGACCUCCCUGAGCCUCAGUGUCCCCCCCUGUAAAAUGGGAAUCACAGGCCUACUUCACAGAGCUGUUGGGGAAGAUACAUAAAAGUGCCUGUGACAGUCAGUGUCCACAUUAUUAACAAAGUCGUCUCCAACUUCAGAAUAAUCGAUGAAAAGAGUAAUGUUGAUGAGACCAAAGAUGAGAUGCCCAGCUUCAUAACAGCCCCAGCAGCAUGAGAAUGAGAGGAGCUCCGAGUAAGCAGGGUUCUUCACAGCUCCACUGGAGAGGAUGAACAUGGGCUACACCAGUAUAAGCGGCUGUUGUACAGUGACUCGUGUAGUGAGGGUGGGUCCCUAAAGACACUGUGAAAUACAGUUACACACAGUGGCUCCUAGGAAACAACUAAAAGCAAUCAACGCAGCAGAUAGGAAUAGGAAGGCGGCGAGCAGAGGAGGGUCAGAGCCACAAAAUCUGAAGGAAGACACUGAACCACAAGA